rnacentral:rRNA from 1 species
UACGAAGGGUGCAACCGUUGCUCGGAAUUAUUGGGCGUAAAGCGCACGUAGGCGGCUUGGCAAGUCGGAUGUGAAAUCCCGGGGCUCAACCCCGGAACUGCCCUUGAAACUGCAGUGCUAGAAUCUUGGAGAGGCGAGUGGAAUUCCGAGUGUAGAGGUGAAAUUCGUAGAUAUUCGGAAGAACACCAGUGGCGAAGGUGACUCGCUGGACAAGUAUUGACGCUGAGGUGCGAAAGCGUGGGGAGCAAACAGG